UACGGGGGGGGCAAGCGUUGUUCGGAAUUACUGGGCGUAAAGGGCUCGUAGGCGGCCAACUAAGUCAGACGUGAAAUCCCCAGGCUCAACCUGGGAACUGCGUCCGAUACUGGCAGGCUUGAAUCCGGGAGAGGGAUGUGGAAUUCCAGGUGUAGCGGUGAAAUGCGUAGAUAUCUGGAGGAACACCGGUGGCGAAGGCGGCAUCCUGGACCGGUAUUGACGCUGAGGCGCGAAAGCUAGGGGAGCAAACGGG
rnacentral:rRNA from 1 species